rnacentral:rRNA from 1 species
AAUAUAGUUACCAGAAUAAUAAUAAUGAGGCUAAAUUAACUAAAUUAUUUUUUUUUUUAGUAUAAAGAGUAUAGAAGUAAAUGUUGGUGUGUGUACUGUAAGGGACUAUUAUAAAUAAUUUUCGUAUAGUAGAAUUUAGAAUUCGUACCUUUUGUAUAAUGGGUUGAUGAUUGUUUUACUGCCUGAUAGCAGUAUCUCGAAGAAAAAGGAUUUACUUAAUAAGGUGUAUGUUAACGUUGCAUAGUUAUAUAUUGAUUAUAAAGUGGUAGUGAUAUGUUUAUCGUUUUUUAUGAUAGCUAGUUUAUUAAUAAAAAAUAUUUAAGUAUUAUAAUAUUUAGAUAAAUAAUGUCAAAUAUAAUUGUUUAAAUAUUAGUUUAUUAUACAGGGGAUAAGCUUUGUAUAAUUUAUAGAAUUAUAUUUAUAUAAAUUAGAUUAUUAAUGUAGAGUUAAUAAUGCUUUUCUUUAAAAGUAGUUUAAAUAAAUUUUAUAUAAUUGUUAAAUUCAUGAUGGUAGUUAAUAAAUUUUUAUAAAUUUUUAGUGUAAAUAUUUAUAAUGUUAACAUGAGUAUUGUGAUAUUAAUAAUAUUUUUAUUGUUAUUAUAGAUGAAAAUGGUUUAUAUUAGGAAAGCCAGAUAAGUGAGAUUAAGGAAUUCGGCAAAUAUUAACCUCGCCUGUUUAUCAAAAACAUCUCUCUUCGUAAUUAUUAGAUGAAGAGUUGGGCCUGCUCGGUGAACAUAAGUUUUAACAGCUGCGGUAUUUUAACUGUACUAAGGUAGCAUAAUAAUUUGCCUUAUAAUUUGAGGCUAGAAUGAAUGGUUUGACGAAGGUUAAUCUGUCUCUAUCUUAUUUUUUAGAAAUUAAUUUUGAAGUGAAAAAGCUUUAAUUGUUUAAAGGGACGAGAAGACCCUAUUGAGCUUAUAAUUUGUUAUUACUGCAAUAAUUAAUUUAUGCAGGGGUAAUAUAAAUUUUAAUUGGGGUGAUUAAGGAAUAAAUUUGUAUUAGUAACUUCCUUAUAAUUAAAUAUUGUUAUAUCAAGUAACCAAUAUUAAAUAUUGCUUUUAUAAUAGUUACCAUAGGGAUAACAGCGUAAUUUGUUUAGAGAGUUCUUAUUGAAAAAUGAGAUUGCGACCUCGAUGUUGGAUUAAAGUAACCACAAGGUGCAGAAGCUUUGUUAGGUAAAUCUGUUCGAUUUUUAAAACUUUACAUGAUCUGAGUUCAGACCGGCGUGAGCCAGGUUGGUUUCUAUCUUUUAAACUGGUAAUUGCCAAUCUUAGUACGAGAGGACCAGAAUAGAGCUAAAAUUUUAAUUAAAAUAUAGAGUUGGCAGAAAUGAUGCAAA